ensembl:lncRNA
GGGAGGAGCCUUGGCUUGAGUGGCGUAUCCACUCGGCCAAUCAGAGCGCGGAAGAGCUCUGCACCAUUUCUCCCACUCGCCCAUAUAAUCGGAGGCGAGCGGUGAGGAAGGCCGAAUCUCAGUGGAACGAAUGGACAACUGACUUGACCAAUGGAAGCCUUUCCCCUCCCACUGUGUUGUGCGGAGACACCAGGCCAGUCAUACUCUGCAGGAGAGAAUGAAUUCCCGGCGCCGGGUAACCAUUCCCUGGAGGCAUUCAAGGCCAGGCUGGAUGUGGCUCUGGGCAGCCUGGCCUGGUGGUUGGCGACCCUGCACAUAGCAGGGGGGUUGAAACUCGAUGAUCAUUGUGGUCCUUUUCAACCCAGGCCAUUCUAUGGUUCUAUGAUUUAGAGCUACCAGGUCCAGAAUCAUUCCCCUUGGUACCAGGCGUUACACUGUCACAGAAAAUUUAUAUCAAAAAACGAAGCUUUUAAAAUAAAAUUGAGAACAUAAAACAUUGUCUUCUGUGGUGCUUUCUCAUCUUGGCGUGCUAAUAGAACAUGUGUUUAACACAGGAUGGUUGGACAUCCUCUGGCCUGUGUGCUGCCUGUGGAACAGAACAGGCCCAAGAGCCUGACAGGCAGUUUAGGGACUGCUGACAUACUGGGAGGCCAGGAGGUGAGAUGAUUGAUUAGAAGCACAUGUGCCUAUCUUGGCUGUCCAUUUACACCACUUGUAAGCAAUGAGUCUUAAGUGAAGAGUUGUUAGCCCCUGACACUGAAUUAUUUUGUGGUUUCAGCUCUCCUGUCCCUGUUUGCAGAUUCUAUCUGUGUGAGCUGAAACUGUGUUCCUGCCACAGUGGUCACCAAGACUAAAUUAAUCAGAGGCAUCUCAAUUUCAAAAGGGCUCAGGGGAAAAACAAAACAAAACACCCUUUGUUAAUGAGCUAAGGCUUAGGCUGCAUCAGAGCUGAUUUCAUGAAGACUGAAAGCAUAUGAAAAGUGUAAAUGCUGCCCUCUUUAAAAAGUGGAGGUGUUUUCCAAAGCUGUUUGUGAAAGGAAAGAAAAGUGCCUUUCUCUUCUCUCAGUCCAUAGCUGACUUUGUUGCUUUAAAAAUGAUUACCAGCUUUCUCACAUGUGAGACUGAGCCACAAAAUAUGCACAAGAAGCCUAUUUUAGUGUUCUUUUUGCUAGAUCCUAUAUGUUCUUCAUAUAAUGACAGCUAUACUCUUCCAUGUUUUCAUAGCAGUUCUCUCAACUACUUUGUUUAUGGCUUCACCAGGACCUAAGGGCUCACUGGAGGUCAGCAUGCCAUAGAGGGCAGUCCCUGUGGUGUGGCAUUUGCAGCCUGAACAGCGUUAAGGGCUGGAAUAAGGUAUCAGUGAGGCAGCUGCAUGGAGGAGGGCCUUGCCUCUCUUCCCUGUACUUCGGCCUACGCGGCCUUCUCAGCCUGUGAGUGAUCUGUCUGCCUUCAGUGACCACGGCUGAUUUUAAGAAAUGUAUUUUACAAACAUGUUUUUCCCAUACACAGCGCUGCAAUCUGGCAAGAAUAUCUUUUUCACUUAACAGGUCUGAGGAAGAUGGUCAUCUGUAAUGCCCACUAAAGAGAUAAUUCAUUUCAGUAUCGUAGAAUCAUAGAACCAUAGAAUGGCCUGGGUUGAAAAGGACCACAAUGAUCAUCGAG